rnacentral:misc_RNA from 1 species
GAUGAAGAACGUAGCGAAAUGCGAUACUUGGUGUGAACUGCAGAAUCCCGUGAACCAUCGAGUCUUUGAACGCAAGUUGCGCCCGAAGCCAUUAGGCCGAGGGCACGCCUGCCUGGGCGUCACACGUCGUUGCCCCCCCAUCUACUCCUUCGGGAUUGCGGGGGGCGGAUGAUGGCCUCCCGUGCGCCUCGUCGCGCGGUUGGCAUAAAUGCCAAGUCCUCGGCGACGCACGCCACGACAAUCGGUGGUUGCGAAACCUCGGUUGCCCGUCGUGUGCGGUCGUCGCGCAUCGAGGGCUCGAAAAAAUUGCCGGGCUCCGGCUCGGCUUUCAACGCGACCCCAGGUCAGGCGGGGUUACCCGCUGAAUUUAAGCAUAUCAAUAAGCGGAGGA